UCCCAGGUGGUCUAGUGGUUAGGAUUCCUGGCUCUCACCCACGCGGCCCGGGAUCGAUUCCCGGUCUGGGAA
rfam:Ciona savignyi cont_6914, whole genome shotgun sequence.